rnacentral:lncRNA from 1 species
UGCCCUGACUGCGGACGCUGCUUUCGCCAGGGCUCUGAAAUUGCAGCCCACAGGCGGACCCACACUGGCGAGCGUCCCUACCCCUGCCCUCAGUGUGGCAGAGGCUUUCGAACAAAGUCAGCUAUGACAAGCCACCAGUGGGUCCAUCGGCCAGGAGCUAAAGGUCACAGGGACAAAAAAGCCAGUCAGUUAUCUGUAGCCCUGGGCACUGGCCAAGAGGACCCGGAUCCACCUGUGGGCUUCCAGCUUUACCCAGAGAUCUUCCAGGAGUGUGGGGCAUAGUCCUAAACGUGCCGACGGAAAUCACAGGCGUUCUAGCAAGUGUUGGUCCUGGGAACAGGGUACAGUCUUCUAGGUGGUUACCAGAUGCAUCUGCCCACACCUGGAUCCUGAGUCUAUUGGACUGGGGUGGGAAACCCCACUAGAACUCUAUAUGAGAAGCAAGGGCAGUUUCCCGUCUCAGAAGUAUUGAGAGGCUUGAGUUUGAAAAGAGCCUUAUUGAAGCCAUUGCCUCUUUAAUGCAGAGGCUAACGUCGAUGGCUCUGUGAAUUGAGCCAGCUGCGUUUUCAGGGUUACUGGUCAUGAGCCUGGUGUGGUGGUGCCUGCCUAUGAUCCCCUCAUUGGGGAGGUAGAGACACCUGAGACUGCAUCUAAAGAUAAUAAAGAGGGAAAUUAAUUGAGAAUUGAAAAUCAAAGAA